rnacentral:lncRNA from 1 species
AAUAAUGAGGGAAUGGGACACAGGGAAAAUUGAGAGAAGAUGAUCAAGAGAAAUGUAAGGACAUGGAUAUAGAAGGAGAAGAGUUAGGAAUUUAUAAGCAAAAAGAAUGAGUUUUCUUUAAUUUCCUAAUUAUUUUAUUUUUCCUGGCAACAGAAAGCGAUGAAAAAGAAAAACUCUACAAUAAAAAUAAAAAUAAAAAGAGAGAGAGGGAAAGGAGAAACGGUUCAAGAUUUCUUGCUAGAGCCUGGAAGAAUUCUGCUUGCAUACCUGCAAAUCUUCAAGUUUCAUGUCCAGCUUAACUGACAGAGAGAAAGCAUCAAUUGAAUCCCAUAGUUUCGAUCCCCUUCUGAAUUGUAAUUGACCAAUUAGUGUAUACAUAAUUCAUUUAGAUAAGCAAAAACAGACACAUACAUGGAUACAAAAGUUGUGUCCAUUCAUAUACAUAUUUGAUGGCAGAUGUAUUUUGUUCUAUUUUUGAGGAAAUUAAU